UACGUAGGUGGCAAGCGUUGUCCGGAUUUACUGGGUGUAAAGGGCGUGUAGCCGGGCUGACAAGUCAGAUGUGAAAUCCGGGGGCUCAACCCCCGAACUGCAUUUGAAACUGUUGGUCUUGAGUAUCGGAGAGGCAGGCGGAAUUCCUAGUGUAGCGGUGGAAUGCGUAGAUAUUAGGAGGAACACCAGUGGCGAAGGCGGCCUGCUGGACGGCAACUGACGGUGAGGCGCGAAAGCGUGGGGAGCAAACAGG
rnacentral:rRNA from 1 species